CUGGUCAGUAAACUCAACUGGAGGGGAGGAGAUUACACCAGCAUGUGAGUACCAAGAAGGGGACCAUCCGGAGCCAUCUUGGAGGCUGCCUACCACACCUUACUUAAAAACAGACAAGAGUCAGAAUCUCUUCACUUCAUCUGCUUUUCAUGAGAGUGAAACAGUGUUACCUGUAGCAAUACAGGGCCUCAGUCUGAUGUCGAAGAUUUUCCUGAGAUCUCCUACAGACAGAAGGAAUAUGGAAGACAUUUUCCCCAGAAUAGCAACUACAAUAAUUCUAUAAGAUGAUCUUAUCCUGCUAAGAGUAUUAACAAGAAAAAUCACUAAUAGGAAAAUUAAGAGACAUUCAUUACAAAAGUGAUUACUCAAACUCAAAUACAGUUAUCUCAUUUCUCAAAGAAAAGUCUAAAAACCCAGAGAAUUAAAAUCAGAGUUUUUGAGGCAGUUUCCAUAACUCCAUCAUUUCCAGCAGGGAGAAAAAUCAGGCAAGGACAUUUGAACAGAGACCAGAAUGAUGCGAAGGAGGCAGAUAUGAUAACAUCCGAAAGAAAGAUCUGAAAG
rnacentral:lncRNA from 1 species